CCACAAGCAGGACCCAAAAUAACAGUUUCUCGGCGGGUUUCGAUGCGAGAAUCUCCUGGGCCCGAGCCUUUCUUCCCGGGAUUUGCUUUUCUGCUUCCCGGACUGUCAGGACACUACCGAUGGAAUAGUUCGAGUCGGGAUUCCCUUCGUAAAUUAGCCGCUGGGACCCAUGCUGGAGGACUAGAAAACAUGAGAAAGAGAAGGCACGAAGAGAGGAGGACAAUCAUCCUCAUUUUCCUUUUCCUACUCAUCUUUAAGGAUGAUGCCAAAAGUAUGCCCCUGUAGCUUCAGGAAUGGCGCAGUCCAACUGCCUCAAUUUUUCACCGUUAGCAGCACUACUCUGGGCCAAGGUUCGGCUUCCGAGGUCACUCCAGCUUGGGCAGCCUUUGGCCUCCAGCGUCCAGUCGCCUAGACCUCAGAGGCUGAACAAAUCAGGCUAGGAGAGGGCUCAGAACUCUCUGCAGAAGAUGGGGCAGAAAGAUAGAAAAAGGUGGUAGAUGACUUUUGGGAAACAGUGUUUUCCAUAGCAGAUACACAAAUGAACUCAGACUGUGGCAACAUGCCCAAGACCUGCUCAAACCAGAGGCAAGCCCAACUUGGAAGUGGGGAAGUGGGCACAAAAUCUCUCUCUCAAGAAGCUAUUCUUAAAUGACAGCUGUUUGGAAAGGAAGAAUUGGUUUUCUUCAAUGGAGUGACAAAUGUGCCACUACACUCCUGGGCAGACCCCGUUCUCAGGAGUCGUCAGCCAAACCAAAUUGGACUCCAUGUGUUUGUUUAAAAGAGAAAGAACAUGAAAGUGUGUGGGUAGCAAGGCAAGAGGGGAUCUGGGAGGAGUUGAGGAAGGUGAAGAAUAUAAUAGAGUCCUGAACGCCUGUAAUCCCAGCACUCUGGGAGGCAGAGGCAGGCCGAUUGAUCUCUGUGAGUUUGAGGCCAGCCUGGUCCAAGACAGCCAAAGGUACACAGAGAACCUGUCUCGAAAACAAACAAAACAACAAAAAGAAUAUGAUAAUAUAUUCUAUGAAAUUCUCAAAGGAUAAAUAAAAAUAUUAUUUCAACAAAACAGAUAAAAGAAAUAUCGUCAGGCCAGUAAGCUGGUUCAGUGGGCAAAGGCACUGGGACUCAAAUGCUGAAAGGAGAGAACAGAUUUCCCCAAGUUGUCCUCUGACCCGUACUCAAGCACUGGGUUAUGCAUGUAUACACCUGCAUGUAAAAUGCAAUUAAAUACUACGGGGGAGUGUAGUAGCACACACAUUUAUUUACUCUCGACACUCGGGAGGUGGAGGCAGACAGAGGUCUGUGAAUUUGAAGCUAACCUGUUCUACAUAGUGAGUUCCAUAUCAGAGCUACAUAGUGAGACCCUGUCAAGGAAGGAAGGAAGGAAGGAAGGAAGGAAGGAAGGAAGGAAGGAAGGAAGGA